UGUGCCAGCAGUUGCGGUUAUACAAUGAAGGCUAACGUUAAUCAUAAUGGUUUAAAGGAUUUGUAGAAUGAAUAUUUAAAUAAAUAUUUAGAGUUAAUUAAAAUAUAAUUAAAGAAUUAUAAUAGUAAGGAUGAAAUAAUAAUAAUAAUUAUAAGACUGGUAAUAAUGAAAAUAUUAAUUAAUAAUUAACUGACAUUGAGAAAUGAAAACUAAAGUAGCAAAACAGAUUCGAUACCUGUGUAGUUUUAGUUGUAAACGAUGAAUACAUAUUUUAUAUAUAAUUUUUAUAUAUAAAAUAAAAUGAAAAUUAAAGUAUUCCACCUGAAGAGUAUAUUAAUAAUAAUGAAACUCAANAC
rnacentral:rRNA from 1 species